UGAAGGUUGAGUAACAUCAACUGGAGGACCGAACCGACUAAUGUUGAAAAAUUAGCGGAUGACUUGUGGCUAGGGGUGAAAGGCCAAUCAAACUCGGAGAUAGCUGGUUCUCCCCGAAAGCUAUUUAGGUAGCGCCUCGGACGAAUACUACUGGGGGUAGAGCACUGUUAAGGCUAGGGGGUCAUCCCGACUUACCAACCCUUUGCAAACUCCGAAUACCAGUAAGUACUAUCCGGGAGACACACGGCGGGUGCUAACGUCCGUCGUGGAGAGGGAAACAACCCAGACCGCCAGCUAAGGUCCCAAAGUAUUGCUAAGUGGGAAACGAUGUGGGAAGGCUCAGACAGCUAGGAUGUUGGCUUAGAAGCAGCCAUCAUUUAAAGAAAGCGUAAUAGCUCACUAGUCGAGUCGGCCUGCGCGGAAGAUGUAACGGGGCUAAGCA
rnacentral:rRNA from 1 species